GAUCACCAGCAGCUCUUGCUAUUUUAGUCUGUGUCACUGCUUGAAGUUGUAAUUAAUUUGAAUGAUCCUAAAAAUGAUAAUUAUGACAGUUCUGAUAUUUGAUAAGAAUAACUUACAUUCAGUCUUACUAAGAAAGUCAUGGAGCAUUUAGCAGAAGGGCAAAAAAAUCUAUACAGUGCCAACAAAUUUCUCACAGAGAAGCAGAAAGCAGAAGCCUCCACAGGGCUUAACUUGUCCUUCCCCUCUCCUAGUGAAUUGCUAAUGAAGAACUAAGAAAACAAUACUGUAUGAGACCCCCAAGGCUUGCAAGAAAAAAGACUGAAAUUUCCUGCAGGACAGGGACUCUGCCUGGUUCACCUCGGUCCCUCCCUACAUUGAGUGAGCAUACGUGAAGGCUAAGAGCAGAUGCUGAGGAACAUUCAUGUUUAAGUGGCCACAGGGGAUUCAAGGAAAGGAUAAAGAAGGAGUGAUGAGAGGGGUGGAGGUGAAUGAGGCCAGAGCAGACCCACAGAAACCAAAGGAGAAGAAAGUCCCAACGAGGAGCAUGGGAGUGGGGCCAUUCACCAAACAACAGGUCCUCGAAUAGGAACACUGAGAGAAGGACUUGACAAUGAAAGAAGAGUGUUGUAGGAAUUUGAGAUCCUGAAACCCAGGAUGAACACUAAGCAAUGCCACAAGGCCCUUGAGUUUCUCUGGAUUGAUGUCCUGGGUGGCUUUAGUCCUGGUAGUUAUGAAGAAUUCCUUUGGCAAUAAGGCCAAAUUGGAAAAAAAAAAUUAAGUGUUUAUGGGUUUUAUUUUCAUUCAAAAUUAAAAUAGCUUCUUCACUGGCUCCCAUGGGGACAAAUUCUUAUAGUUAGACUGCCUCUUACUUAAAGGAUAAUGAGAAGCAUUUUCAGCACUCAAAUAUUCAGCCGAAGCAGAAUUGAGAAGCACCAGUGCAAAGGCUUCCCUAAAGAGUCUCACAUAUGCACUAGCUCAUUUCAUCUUGAAAUCUUGCCCCAAUCUCUCUGUUUUUUGAACCCAUAGGCUAGUUUGGAAAUUCCAUCAUGAAGCUGGAAUUGUUCAUCACAGAUCCUGAACUACUGUACAUGCACAGAACACUUUAUCCCUGUUAAGGUAGAAUAGUAAAAUGUAGAAUACAAAACAGGGAAUACGUUUGGGCUUGGAGGGUAUAUCAAAUUGCCCAAAGGGGAUCUUACAAGAGUUAGAUUGAAACACACAAAUUAAACACAUAGGAGGAGGGUCCCCAUCACACUGGAUGUUCUCUGCUCUAGUGCAAUCAGGUUAUCAACUGGAGUAUUUGUUCAUCCUCCAUUUAAGCAUCUAAUUUUAUUUUUUUAGUAAGUAUCAAUCAAGUGCUCGAUACAAGGUACUGUGCAUGGAAAGGAAAGGAAGAUGCAAGGUUCUGGUCUGCCACAUCUGCUCUGGACAGUUGUCACAGCUGGAUUAAGAUGUUUGUACUUUAUUACAUAGACAUUUGGACCCUCUUGGAGAUUUUUAACUGAGAGAAGAGCCAUACUUUAGAGAAAGAAAAACUCAUCUCUGUCUAAUGGAUUGGCAGAAAAGAGCUUAUAGGAGGGGCAGGCUGAUGGUGACAGAAGAAGUAAAUGUGGAACUGGGCCUGGGAAGGUAGCCGUGAUAAAGAAAGGGAAGGAUAGAGGAGGAGACACUGCCAAUGCAAAAUAAACCUGUCCUCUUGCCUUACUGUCUAUGAAAGGUAAGAAAGAGAGGUGAAAAAUGAAUUCAAAGUCAGAGAAGGUGGUGCCACUGACAAAAUUCAUUCAAGAGGAGGAGCUGGUGGGAGAGGCUGGUGGGAGAGACUGGGCUGGAGCCUUCACCUUGGAGUAUGUUCAGCUUGGGAUGCCAACAGGACCUGCAGGUGAGGCUUCCCAGCCUUCUGAAAAGGAGGUUAGUCAAGGGAUGGAAGUGGUAGUCAGAUUUCUAGGAUUUACUAGGUCUGCAAGUAGAUGUACUUAGUCCUGACCACUAUUUUUGAGAGGGCUGGUGGAAGAAUAAAGAAAUCAGAUGAACAGAACAGUCAUUUUAAUGGGUGUUGGAGUUGGUACUGAGAAUAUAUGCCUCAAAUUAAAAAACAUUGUAUAAAUAGUUUCUAAAUGUGCUAUAAAAUAUAGUGGAAAGAAUGGACAUUACAAAGCUUUCAUUAUACUAUUCAGUGAUAUUAUAAUAUGAAUUACUUUAAAAUUGUCAAGUGAAUUUAUUUGCCAUCCAUAAAGUAAUCUUCCUCAUUGAAUUGUGUAUUUGGG